GACGAACGCUGGCGGCGUGCCUAAUACAUGCAAGUAGAACGCUGAAGAGAGGAGCUUGCUCUUCUUGGAUGAGUUGCGAACGGGUGAGUAACGCGUAGGUAACCUGCCUUGUAGCGGGGGAUAACUAUUGGAAACGAUAGCUAAUACCGCAUAACAAUGGAUGACCCAUGUCAUUUAUUUGAAAGGGGCAAAUGCUCCACUACAAGAUGGACCUGCGUUGUAUUAGCUAGUAGGUGAGGUAACGGCUCACCUAGGCGACGAUACAUAGCCGACCUGGGAGGGUGAUCGGCCACACUGGGACUGAGACACGGCCCAGACUCCUACGGGAGGCAGCAGUAGGGAAUCUUCGGCAAUGGGGGCAACCCUGACCGAGCAACGCCGCGUGAGUGAAGAAGGGUUUCGGAUCGUAAAGCUCUGUUGUAAGUCAAGAACGAGUGUGAGAGUGGAAAGUUCACACUGUGACGGUAGCUUACCAGAAAGGGACGGCUAACUACGUG
rnacentral:rRNA from 1 species